rnacentral:tRNA from 1 species
GCGGGAAUAGCUCAGUUGGUAGAGCACGACCUUGCCAAGGUCGGGGUCGCGAGUUCGAGUCUCGUUUUCGGGG